rnacentral:rRNA from 1 species
AUUGAACGCUGGCGGCAUGCCUUACACAUGCGAGUCGAACGGUAACGGGCCUUCGGGUGCCGACGAGUGGCGCACGGGUGAGUAAUACAUCGGAACGUGCCCGAUCGUGGGGGAUAACGAGGCGAAAGCUUUGCUAAUACCGCAUACGAUCUACGGAUGAAAGCAGGGGACCGCAAGGCCUUGCGCGGACGGAGCGGCCGAUGGCAGAUUGGGUAGUUGGUGGGAUAAAAGCUUACCAAGCCGACGAUCUGUAGCUGGUCUGAGAGGAUGAUCAGCCACACUGGGACUGAGACACGGCCCAGACUCCUACGGGAGGCAGCAGUGGGGAAUUUUGGACAAUGGGCGCAAGCCUGAUCCAGCCAUGCCGCGUGCAGGAUGAAGGCCUUCGGGUUGUAAACUGCUUUUGUACGGAACGAAAAGCCUUCUUUUAAUACAGGAGGGUCAUGACGGUACCGUAAGAAUAAGCACCGGCUAACUACGUG